UCUGGGGGGCAGAGUGGGAAAGGGCAGGACUGGGAAGGGAGCGGGAUCCAAUCACUCUGCAUCUUCUGGGAUUUGCCUUCCCCAGACCUUAGAAGUGAGGGCAGGUGAAGAAAAGAGAGGACACAGGGCUAGGGAAAGGCCAGGGAAUGAGGGAAGAGAAAGGAGGAGGAGGGGAGGGAGAGAGAGAGGACACACAUGGAGAGAGGCAGACAGCAGAGGCAGAGACAGUCAAAAUACAGAGAUCGACAGUAAGAGAGACAGCAACAGAACAGAGACAGAGAGAGAGAGACACGUGGAGAUAAUGAGGGAUACGGAAAAACCAAGUGAGCUAUCUAAGUAUCUAUAAAUGUCCGCCUAUCACCUAUCUAUCUGUCUGUCUGUCAGUCAUCAUAGACCAAAUCUCACACAGGGACAGUGAUCAGAGAUAGAGACACACAGGGCCAGAGACAGACAAAUGAAGACAGAGAACUAGAGAAAGGCAGAAGAGAGAGUUGGAGAGACAGAGAGACACAUGCUUCCUGAGAGACAUACAGAUGGACGCUGAAAGAGAAAGGGCAGGAAAUAAAGAGCUAAACAGAGACUGAGGGAAAGAGAGAGUGACAGACACAAAGGAGAGAUGCACAGAGACAGACACACAGGCACACACGUGGAAAUUACACAGAGAUGUGCAGAGACAGGGACCAAGACAGACACAGAGAGAGAGAGGGGAGCAGAAGCAGAAGCAGAAGCAGAGGGAAAAUAAUCAGGGGUUCUGAACCCAGGGGCUCAGUGCAGAGAGAGGUGCCCCCUGCUGGGUAAACGCUGGUACUAGCCGGUGCCCAGCCCCGCUCUGGGCUCUAAAACCUGGGUGAAUGAACGAACACAGAGCCAGAGAAAACCCCAGAAAGACAAGCCCAGGAACCUUGAGGACCGUCGGAGGAGAAGACAAGGGAGAUCCCAGGCAGUCUAUCGACUGAAGAGAGAUGAAGCCGGUGAGCCCUGUCUUGAAAGCCAUCCUCCUCUGUGACCUGUACCUGGCCCUUUACCUGCUGAGCUUCUGGCAGCAGAAGUGUGAUCUGCUCCAGAAAUGAUGUGCAAAACUUGACCUGUUUCCUGAGGUUGAUAUAAGUCAGCCAGCCUCAAACCCUUCUGCAAGAGCUCUGCAUUAGCAAACCAAGCUGGUUCCAAGCAUCCCCUUCCUCACAAGCGGUCUUGUUGGGCUCCAGCAACCGCCCCCUCCCUUUGUACCUGCAAGGAUGAAAGGUCAGCCUCGCUGAAGCUAGUUUACAGGUAUUCUAUCACGCUGGGUUGGCUCUCCCUCAGUUUUGGAAAUAGUCCUUUCAUUAAACUCGAAAUGAUCCCAUUUGUGUGUGACUCACCUUUCCUGCUGGGGUCCCAACACAGCUCUCCAUUGCAUGGUUGCUCCAUAGUUUGUGUGGUCCGUCAUCAGGCCACAGUUAUUUCCAAUCUUUCACUGUGACCCAAAGCGGCAACACAUAAACUUGCCUAUAGGUCAUUUUGCACACAUUUAUCCUAUUUGUAGGAUAAAUAUUAGAUGAGGAAUUGCUGAGUCAGAUAAUGCAUAUUUAUAAUUUUGGAUGAUACUGUUAAAUCAUGCUGAAUGGUUGAACCAAUCCACGGCUCCAUUAGCAGAGGAUGAGAAUGAGGGUUGCUUUUUAGACUAAAUUCCUAAUCCGUAAUGUUUGGAUGCCUGUCUUGGAGGCUAUUAAGGAUUCUCCAGAUAAGGAUACCAAACUUCUAGUUAAUAAUAGGCAGGUAUCUGGAAUAAUAAAUUGAAUAAAAAAUUGAAUAAAGGGUGUGUGUGAAUGUAUUUGUUUCCCAUCUUGGAAUCUCUGAUCACAGUAGUUAAGAGAAAUUAUUUUUUUUUAAGAUUUUAUUUAUUUGACAGAGAUCACAAGCAGGCAGAGAGGAAGGCAGAGAGAGAGGGGGAAGCAGGCUACACGCUGAGUGGAGAGCCCAAUUUGGGAAUCGAUCCCAGGACCCUGAGAUCAUGAGCUGAGCCAAAGGCAGAGGCUUAACCCACUGAGCCACUCAGGUGCCCGAAGAGAAAUUACUGAAAGUUCGUCUUAGAACGUUUUUAUGUUUAAGGGACUAUGAUUCUGUGUACAGUGAUUAUAGUUUUUCAAGUCUCUGGUACUGAGAUCGUGGUUCCCAGGUCUCAUGGAUCUUUGUGCUGUACCUCGAAGAUUGUGUGAGUCACAGGUUUCCCAGCUUCUUCCCAAGAGACGGUGCACGUGGAUGGUUAUAGUCUGAAGAGGCAUUGUUAUUAGUGUGCUUGUUAUGAAACAAGACACCAUGCAUCUGGAGUUUCCUCGUUACCCGCCCAUCCCUCCCCCAUGGAAAGCAUCUGAAAAUGGAACCUAAGCUGUUCACACAAAUCUGAAAAUGUUUGGAACUGGAUAACUAGGGUGUAUUAUGAAACACAUGGGCUCUGGAGGUUAGGUUACAUCAUACUUGACUUUUCUUUUGCCUGUGUGUAGAAUGAGAAAGGGCAAGAAAGCAUCAGAAAGAUCUGAUUCAAGUCUGGGUAUGGUUACUUUUUAGCUGUGUCAUCGUGGCUAUGUCGUUCAAUGCCUUCAGACUCCAUUUCCUCACCAGCGAAAUGAGAAUAAUAGUUAUUAGGAAUCAAGGGCUCUAAAGUCAUCAAUUUCCUGUCCCACCAUCAUAUAUUUUGCUAUCCCAACUAGGUCUCCCCAGUAUGGCACUCCUGUGAUCUCAGAAACAUCCCACCCAAAUUUGGUAAAAUUCAACCCUUCCUCCCUGCAUGGAAACCUUGCCACAAUUUCCUCCCAGCCCUCAUAUAUAUAUUUCUUUCUACCAUGACCAGAUUUCAUGGUGCUUUUUCUCUCAACGAGGACCUUAGCUGGUUUAGGUCAUUUACGGGUGAUGGGACCCAAAACUUUGUAUCUGGAUUAUCUAAAUCUUCAAUAGCUUGAUUGGUUUUGCAGUUGUUAUAAUUUUCUGCUAACACUCCAUCAUCAGGUCUUCAGUCUCUGCUAGGGGUCACUAGCAAGUGAGCAAUUGUUUCUCCAGGGAAUAAAUCUGCUUAUUCCUCCUGGUGGAUAAUCUUUAUGGAUUAUCUCUGGUCCAAGAAAGAACCCAGUCUAGAGAGACAGUACAGGGCAGUGAUAAAGAGUCUUGGCUUUGCAUCUAGACGGCUUUGGUUCAAAUACACAAUUCACUAUUUACUUGUUCUGCAAGUUUAAGCAAAUCAUUUCACUUGCUGAAGUCUUAUCUUUUCUCUUUAUAAAAUGAACGUGAACUCAUGGUGUGCUGGAAUGGGCCAGUACCAGCUCAUGGGAGCCACUGUGCCUCUCUUCACAAUUCCACUGGCUGGUGACUUGAUAUUGAGUUGAUAGCUUGAAAUCAGCUAGAAGUCAGAACAUCCCGCCCCACCCCACCUGCGGAAAGCCCGCUGAUACUGUCCCUUCCUUCCGAACUUGUUGUAAAGAUGAACUGUGGGACACCAUGCAAGAAAAAUGGUUAUCAUGUCUGCUGACAUGCUCAAUAAACGUUAACCCUUAUCUUUAGUAUUAUAUGGGUAAGACAAAACAGUCACACAACAAUUGGGGAUUAUUAUUAUCUGAUUGCUAUUUUUUAGCACAUGUAUAGAUGAUAUUUGAGUCUCAGGUCAAAGGGCUCUGGAGGAAGGAACCUGGGAUGCUGAGACAUGUUUGACCCAACAGAUAACUGGUGUUGAGCCUGAAUCCCUGAGAUAGUGCAAUGUACAAGGGCAAGGAGCCUGAAGCCAGACUGCCCUGUGUGACUCAAGCCCUUUUUUGCUUCAUGUUAUUAUUUUCUUAAUGUUUUCAAGAUUUUCUUUUUUUUAAGAUUUUAUUUAUUUAAGGCAGAGAGAGAGAGUGCAUGGGCAGGAAUUAGGGGAAGAGGGGAAGAAGCAGGCUCCCCGCUGAGCAGAGAGGCCAAUGCGAGACUCGAUCUCAGGAUCCUGGGAUCAUGACCUGAGCUGAAGGCAGAUGCUCAAGCUGACUGAGACACCCAGAUGCCUCCUGCUUCAAGUUAUUCAUGUUAUUGUACAAUGAAGGUAAUCACCACAUCUCCGUUUUGACAUCAUAAGGAUUAAACACACUGAAAAGGCAGCUCUUGAUGGGAGGCACUCAGUAUGUGUUAAUUGCUCUUAACCAUGUAGUCAUGGGCAGUUUUCCAAGCCCUUAACCAUCUGGUUUCCAUUUUGACCUAAAAGCGAGACAUCUGAGUGAGGAGGCAGAGGUUCAUCCCCAUUUCACAGAAGGGGAAACAGUGGCCAACUGUGGCAGUUAGGAGAGUAUAGGGUGUGGUGACCAGUCCUGGGCUAGAAGCCAGCACUUCUUCCUCCCCCACCUUGAGGUAGCUCUGAACCUUCCAGCUAAUGUCGUGAAUUGAGAUUUUCACUAAAAGGGGAGUCACCGUUCAACUUUCUGGAGCUGGGCACGGUGACAGUUAGGUCAAAGAUGAGCAGGGGGCAUAGCUGUCUCUGAGAUGAUUCAGCCCAGCACCUCUGCUGAAAUCUGGUCACAACUGCUUUCUCUGUUAGCUCUGAUAUUAUAGGAUUUAUUGUUCCUCCCUCUUCCCAUCCAUCCUCUCCUGCCUGCCAACUAAUCAGCCAAUCACAUGUCCUUCUCUUGGAAUAAGCCCCGGCGUUUACAGAAUCAGGCUGAAGAUAGCCACCUCCUUCAUCAUAAGAAGUGGUGGGAAGGAUUUUUGAUGGGCGUUGUGAAGAAAUACCAACUUCUUCAGAGAGAGAUCUGCCAUUCUAGGGGAACUUCUGAUGGUGUCUCUAGAUAUGAGUGAUGCUAAGGUUUAAAGAGCUGGUGAUUUGCAGGUUCUUACUCCAUAGCUCUGGUUCUGUGUAUCAAGUCGUGGCUCGUUAGGGAGGAAAAGUUGUUUGUAUCUAGGUGUCUUCGUGGUCAUACCUGUUCAUGUUAGAACAGAUUUCAGUUGGAGUUGAAUUAUCCCUCAUCUCUGGGAGAGGUGUAGGACAGGGAUAAACAAAAACCUCCCCAGAAGCCCUGGGUCCGGACUCUUUGGCUGCAAGUGGUAGAGACUCCCUUCAGACCAACCUUAGCAAAAAUGGUGAUUUGUUAACUCACCCCGAGUCUGGAUUCAGGUGCUCUGAGAGAUGAGUUUUCUGGACGCUCCCAUGACUGAAUCUUUUGAAUCUACUGAUCUAUGUAUGACUUCGUUCUCUUUUAGGGCUUCCCCAAGAACUUGUAGGAUGGUCUUAUACAGUCUUGGGCCUACCUUGUCUUUGUCAGAUUAUAUUCCUUCCCUACUGGCUCUUACCCAAUGGGCAAAUUCUAUUUCUCGCCCUUCUACUUCAGGUUUGCCCACUUAACUUGCUUUGGGGAGUAAAUUGUGAGUGAAAAUGAGUUGGUAAGCGUAAAUGUUAAGGAUCAUCUCAUUGCUUUGCUACUUUUCUUCCCUCACAUGGUACUGGCCUGUCCGGGGUAGAUGCUCCCUCUUCAGUUGGUCCAGCGAACAAAGAGGACAUGAAGGAAAUCUAUAGCUAAUUAGCACCAAGCAUGACUUUGUGUGAGUGCUGUACCCUUGUUGAAUUAUCGGUGUUGUCUAACUUAGUCUAAGCUGACUAAAUAUGUUGUAUUUAUGGUUCUAGUUUUUAGAGAAGGGGCAACUCUUUUCCCAGAAGCUCAAGCAAAAGUUUCAGGAAGAAAUCCGAGUGGUCAGGUGACCAUCUCUUAGGAAAUCUUGGUGGUGGCAGGGAGUGGAAGACUGUGAUUAGUCACACCUGCACCAUGAUCCCACCCCCCUGUUCUCCAACCCUGACCACACAGGAACUUGAGCAAGUUUCCAGUGCAAUUGGAUAGGCAUAGUUCUCAAAGGAAGGGAUGUUGAUAAGGGAUAAAAAUGUGUCUCUGCAGAUCUCUUCUUCGGUGGAGAGCUGGUCUGUGGGUUAGGAUGAGAUAAAUUUGCCCAGGGAUCAAGGGAUCUGCAAGGACGUUCUAACCUUUCCCCUUUUGAAGCUCAUUUUCUUUCUUUCUAUCUUUUUAGAAAAGGUUUUAUUCAUUUGUCAGAGAGAGAGAGAGCGCAAGUGCACACAAGCAGGGGGAGAAGCAGGCUCCCUGCUGAGCAAGACUGACACAGCGCUCCAUCCCAGGACCCCAGGAUCAUGACUUGAGCCAAAGACAGAUGCUUAACCGACUGAGCCAUCCACGUGUCCUGAAGCUCAUUUUUCUUAGAACCCCUCUUAUAGAUCAGGAUGUGUCUGGUUUAAGUCUGAUGCCAUAAAAAGACUCCAAGGACCCCAGCGGGACUCUUUAAGGGCAGGAGGACCUGUAGUAGGUCACCUUGCAUCCAUGUUGAUGGAAAAAGAACUGGUCCAGGCAGAGUGCCAGACAGAAGCAGAAGAGCCUUCAUCUUCACUCAUCAGGACUUUGGAACCACCUCUGAACAUGUGACACGAAGCAGAAGAGCCAUAACCCUAGAAGCUCAUUUUUGGGAUUGUAUAUUUAUGUUGCCUGUCAAGAGAGAAGGCCUAACAACGUAGUUAAGGGCAUAGCUCUGAGAUCAAGCUGUCUGGGCUCAAAUCCCAGGUCUGCCUCUUGCUCUCUAUUCUCUCUUGGGCAAAUGACUCGGGUUAGCUGGGAGGUUGUUUAAUUAUCUGUAAGAGGGAUAUAAUAGUUGUAUCUGCUUCAAAGGAUUGUUGAGAGGAUUAAGUGAGUCACUGAAUGUGAAGCCCUUCAAACAGAACCUAAAGACGAUCAGAACCCUAUGACCAUUGCUUGUGACUAUGUGAACUCCACUAAGGGGCCCCCCUACUGUCCCCCCAACCAACCCAGGUUUUCUUGGGCUGCUGGCCCAAUCAUUUCUCCUUCCUUCAUUUGGAAAGAUACAAAACCUCUGCCCAGGUUUGUUAACUUACUCUGAACAAGUAAUACACUCACUUGCUUCCAAAUGCAAAAGCUGUAAAUUGAUAGUGAAAUUGGCUUGUGCCAGCCUAUCCUCCUACCUUUAACUCCCCUCAGCCAAAGGAAAUGACUUUAAAUUCUUAAAAAAAUUUUUAAAAGAUUUUAUUUGUUUAUUUGACAGAUAGAGAUCUCAAGUAGGCAGAGAGGCAGGCAGAGAAAGAGGAGGAAGCAGGCUUCCUGCCAAGCAGAGAGCUUGAUGUGGGGCUCCAUCCCAGGACCCUGGGAUCAUGACGUUAACUGAAGGCAGAGGCUUUACCCCACUGAACCACCUAGGCGCCCCAAAUUUUUAUUGAUUUAUUUGAAGUAGGUUCUGGGCCCAACUUACCAUCCUGAGAUCAGAGUUGCACACUCUACUGAUGGAGCCAGCCACGUGCUCCCUAAGGAAGCUACUUUAUUAUUAUUAUUAUUAUUUUACUUCUUAAAAAUAUUUUAUUUAUUUGACAGAGAGAGAAAAAGAGACCACUAGCAGGAGGAGCAGUAGAGGGAAGGGAAAAGCAGGCUCCCCACUGAUCAUGGAGCCUGAUGCGGGGCUCGGACGCAGAGAUCAUGACCUGAGCUGAAAGCAGCUGCUGAACGACUGAGCCACCCAGGUGGCACAGGAAGCUACUUUAAGCAAACUAUCAUUUUUGUAUAUAUCCUGCUAUUUCCUUUUCAAUUUUUUACCUUUUUUUUCUUUGAUAAUUAUAAAUUCCAUGUAGUAAUGGGCACGGAUAUUGAAUGAAUGGGCUUGAAGAAUUUCUACAUUUGUAUCUGAUACUUUGGAAGACUCUUCUGUGUCCCAUCUAGUCAUUUUUACCCCGAAGCAAUGACUGUCCUGACCUUUACAAAUUUGUGUUGCCCAGUUUUGAAAUUCACAUAUAUGGAAUCACAGCAUGGGAAUGUUUUCUUUUAGUGCUUGGGUUUUUUCACAUCGGUGAUAAUUAUUCAAUAGCUAUUAUUUACUAACCCACUCUAUAGCCACUGGGCAUUUGGGUUGUCUCCAGUGUUCCGCUGUUUUGACCAAUGCUGUUGUGAACAUUCUAGUACUUAGGUUUUUGUGGGACAUGUGCACUCAACACUCCUAGAAUACACCCCGGUGCUGCUGCCUCAUUCAUUAAUAAUGUGUUUCGUUUUAGUAAACUGCCAGUUUCCUAAGGGAUUGUUUGAAUGUACAUUCCCAACAGCAAGGUAUGAAAGGUCUUUAAAAAAAAAAAAAAAGGAUUGUAUUUAUUUAUUUGAGAGAGAGAUAGCGAGAGAGAGAAAGAGCAUGAGCAGGGGCGGGGGGAGAGGGGGCAGCAGACACUGGGUGAGCAAGGAGCCAGACACAGGGCUCGACCCCGAUCUGAAGGCAGAUCUGAAGGCAGACCAUGACCUGAUCUGAAGGCAGACUGCCUAACCUAAUGAGUCACCCAGGCGCCCUCCUUUUUAAAAGAUUUCUUUUUAAAGAUUUUAUUUAUUUAUUUGACAGAGAGAGAUUACAAGUAGGCAGAGAGGCAGGCAGAGAGAGAGAGGAGGAAGCAGGCUCCCUGCUGAGCAGAGAGCCCGAUGCGGGACUCGAUCCCAGGACCCUGAGAUCAUGACCUGAGCCAAAGGCAGCGGCUUAACCCACUGAGCCACCCAGGCACCCCUUUUUAAAAGAUUUUAUUUUGAGUUGAUAGCUGUUAUUUUUAAGAUUUUCAACCACUAAGAGUCAGAGAGUCCCCAGAGCACUUCUAGAGUAUGACUCUCCAAACUCUCAUAAAACCCUUUCUUUUGGAGUCUCUCUCCUCGUCCUUGUCUUCUGGCAAAUGUUCUCCCUCUCUUUCCACUAAGACCUGCCCUGCUCCUGCAAGAAGGCACACUGGUGGGCAUGUGCUGUCCCAACAACCAGACAGAAAGAAGCUUGACUUUCUUCUGCUCCUUGGCCUGCCCCUCCUGCCGCUCACCCUGGUCCUUGCUGUCACGUGAAACCUAAACCCAAACACUUCACUCUGGCCAAAACCCUUGUUCUACUCUCUGCUUCACUGAGGUGACACUGCUUGGGUCUUUGGUUUAAUAUUCCAAAGAAUGCAAACAUAACAGAAGGUCAAACAUCCCUCCCAUGAAGAGAACUGUUUUAUUUUUAUUUCCUUUAUACAAUCGGAAUCUUCUGUUUUAGGCCUACAAGAACCACAGGAUUAUCAGGAACAGUUUUCUGAUGUCUCAUAAAGAGAAGGGAGGACUUGGCCACCCAGCAUGGUGGUUAAGAGCAUGAAAUCUAGAGUCAACAACACGAGGCCAUGCCCAGGUCCCACCCUGCUCAGCUGUGGAGCCCAAAACAACUCACUCCCUGCUCCUUGGGCCUUGCUUCACUCGUCUGCAACUGGGGACGGUCAACCCGACCUCACUGGCUUGCUGUGAGGAUUUUAGCAAGAUCAUGCCUGUAAAAACUUCACACAGUAACAUCAUGAGCUCACUGAAUGCUACCAUUGUCAGCAGGGCUAGCGUUUAAAUUUGAACCAAGAAGGCUUACCUAAGAUUCUCACCUGGGAAGGAUUUGGAAUUAGUUACAGGUGGUUGGUUUCUCAACUCUGGGAAUGUACUAAAUGCCAUGAGCUGUUUGCAUUAAAAAUGGUAAUUUUAAAAUAA